rnacentral:rRNA from 1 species
AUUCCAGCUCCAAUAGCGUAUAUUUAAGUUGUUGCAGUUAGAAAGCUCGUAGUUGGAUUUCGGAUGGGUUUGACCGGUCCGCCUUUGGUGUGCACUGGUCGCGCCUAUCUUGCUGUCGGGGACGCGCUCCUGGCCUUAAUUGGCUGGGACGCGGAGUCGGCGAUGUUACUUUGAAAAAAUUAGAGUGUUCAAAGCAGGCUUAUGCCGUUGAAUAUAUUAGCAUGGAAUAAUGGAAUAGGACUUUUUCCUCUUCUGUUGGUCUGAGGGGUUCGAGUAAUGAUUAAUAGGGAUAGUUGGGGGCAUUAGUACUUUGCUGUCAGAGGUGAAAUUCUCGGAUUUGCAAAAGACUAACUUAUGCGAAAGCAUUUGCCAAGGAUGUUUUCAUCA